AUAAUCCCUGCGGGGGAAAGAUUUAUCGCUAUUAGAUGAGCCUAUGUUAGAUUAGCUAGUUGGUAGGGUAAAGGCCUACCAAGGCGAUGAUCUAUAGCUGGUCUGAGAGGAUGAUCAGCCACACUGGAACUGAGAUACGGUCCAGACUCCUACGGGAGGCAGCAGUGGGGAAUAUUGGACAAUGGGCGCAAGCCUGAUCCAGCUAUGCCGCGUGAGUGAGGAAGGCCUUAGGGUUGUAAAACUCUUUCAGUAGGGAAGAUAAUGACGGUACCUACAGAAGAAGUCCCGGCAAACUCCGUGCCAGCAGCCGCGGUAAUACGGAGGGGGCAAGCGUUGUUCGGAAUUAUUGGGCGUAAAGGGCAUGUAGGCGGUUCGGUAAGUUAAAGGUGAAAUGCCAGGGCUUAACCCUGGAGCUGCUUUUAAUACUGCCA
rnacentral:rRNA from 1 species